rnacentral:rRNA from 1 species
GCACAAGCGGUGGAGCAUGUGGUUAAUUCGACGCAACGCGAAGAACCUUACCAGGCUUGACAUCCCCUGACCGCGUAUGAAAGUACGUUUUCACCUCGGGUGACAGGGAGACAGAUGGUGCAUGGUUGUCGUCAGCUCGUGUCGUGAGAUGUUGGGUUAAGUCCCGCAACGAGCGCAACCCCUACGUUUAGUUGCUAACAGGUGAAGCUGAGCACUCUAGACGAACUGCCGUUGACAAAACGGAGGAAGGUGGGGAUGACGUCAAAUCAUCAUGCCCCUUAUGUUCUGGGCUACACACGUGCUACAAUGGCCGGUACAGACGGACGCAAAGCCGCGAGGUGGAGCAAAUCCUAAAAAGCCGGUCUCAGUUCGGAUUGCAGGCUGCAAUUCGCCUGCAUGAAGUCGGAAUCGCUAGUAAUCGCAGGUCAGCAUACUGCGGUGAAUACGUUCCCGGGCCUU